rnacentral:rRNA from 1 species
AACGAACGCUGGCGGCAGGCUUAACACAUGCAAGUCGAACGGGCCCUUCGGGGUCAGUGGCAGACGGGUGAGUAACGCGUGGGAAUCUACCCAUCUCUACGGGAUAGCUCCGGGAAACUGGAAUUAAUACCGUAUACGUCCUGAGGGAGAAAGAUUUAUCGGGGAUGGAUGAGCCCGCGUUGGAUUAGCUAGUUGGUGGGGUAAUGGCCUACCAAGGCGACGAUCCAUAGCUGGUCUAAGAGGAUGAUCAGCCACAUUGGGACUGAGACACGGCCCAAACUCCUACGGGAGGCAGCAGUGGGGAAUAUUGGACAAUGGGCGCAAGCCUGAUCCAGCCAUGCCGCGUGAGUGAUGAAGGCCCUAGGGUUGUAAAGCUCUUUCACCGGUGACGAUAAUGACGGUAGCCGGAGAAGAAGCCCCGGCUAACUUCGUGCCAGCCGCCGCAGUAAGAC